GAGUAUAGAUGAGGUAGGCGGAAUUUGUAGUGUAGCGGGUGAAAUGCAUAGAUAUUACACAGAACCCCAAUUGCGAAGGCAGCUUACCAAACUAUUACUGACGCUGAAGCACGAAAGCGUGGGUAGCGAACAGGAUUAGGUACCCUGGUAGUCCACGCCGUAAACUAUGCUCACUCGCUGUUGGCAAUAGAUCGUCAGCGGCUAAGGGAAACCGAUAAGUGAGCCACCUGGGGAGUACGAUCGCAAGAUUGAAACUCAAAGGAAUUGACGGGGGCCCGCACAAGCGGAGGAACAUGUGGUUUAAUUCGAUGAUACGCGAGGAACCUUACCUGGGCUUAAAUGUAGAGUGCAUAAAGUGGAAACAUUUUUUUCCUUCGGGACUCUUUACAAGGUGCUGCAUGGUUGUCGUCAGCUCGUGCCGUGAGGUGUCGGGUUAAGUCCCAUAACGAGCGCAACCCCUAUCGUUAGUUACCAGCACGUAGUGGUGGGGACUCUAGCGACACUGCCGGUGUAAACCGUGAGGAAGGUGGGGAUGACGUCAAAUCAGCACGGCCAUUAUGUCCAGGGCUACACACGUGUUACAAUGGUCGGUACAGUGGGCAGCCACAUAGCAAUAUGGAGCUAAUCUCAAAAGCCGAUCUCAGUUCGGAUUGGAGUCUGCAACCCGACUCCAUGAAGGUGGAUUCGCUAGUACUCGCGCAUCAGCCAUGGCGCGGUGAAUACGUUCCCGGGCAUUGUACACACCGCCCGUCAAGCCAUGGAAGUUUGGG
rnacentral:rRNA from 1 species